rnacentral:rRNA from 1 species
GCCUACGGGGGGCAGCAGUAGUUAAUAUUUCUCAAUUGUUUCCCCCCUGAAGCAGCAACGCCGCGUGGAGGAUGAAGGUUUUCGGAUUGUAAACUCCUUUUGUUAGAGAAGAUAAUGACGGUAUCUAACGAAUAAGCACCGGCUAACUCCGUGCCAGCAGCCGCGGUAAUACGGAGGGUGCAAGCGUUACUCGGAAUCACUGGGCGUAAAGAGCGCGUAGGCGGGAUAGCAAGUCAGAUGUGAAAUCCUAUGGCUUAACCAUAGAACUGCAUUUGAAACUGUUAUUCUAGAGUAUGGGAGAGGUA